rnacentral:tRNA from 1 species
AGAAGUAAAGUAUAAAAAUAGCUGCUAACUAAUUUUUAAAGCGGUUAAAUUCCGUUUGCUUCUU